UACGUAGGGGGCAAGCGUUGUCCGGAUUCAUUGGGCGUAAAGAGCGUGUAGGCGGCCAGGUAGGUCGGUUGUGAAAACUGGAGGCUCAACCUUCAGAGGUCGACCGAAACCAUCUGGCUAGAGUCCGGGAGAGGAGAGUGGAAUUCCUGGUGUAGCGGUGAAAUGCGUAGAUAUCGGGAGGAACACCAGUGGCGAAAGCGGCUACCUGGCCCAUUCUUGACGCUGAGGCGCGAAAGCUAGGGGAGCAAACAGG
rnacentral:rRNA from 1 species